UCCUGACAGUCGCAUUGGGUGACUGACACUAGCCGAGACAGGAGAUUCAUAUG
ncrna:unclassified sequences Mu-gpT-DE RNA